rnacentral:snRNA from 1 species
GGAUAUAAGGGCAAUCUGUGCUGUAACAUCUGUCACUCCAGAGCUCACCAAGGUUGAUUCUACUGAUCUGUCUAGCUAACAGGUGUUGCCUUCCUCCCUCACCAGUCCAUGUUCAUGCCUCCAAAGCUGUUCAGUGAGAGGAUGACCUCCCCAAUAGAGCAUUCUUUAGUCAAGGAUACAUGUAUAGCUGCACUCCCCUGAUAGAACCUUCAAAAGCAAGUCCUCAAGAUAAAGACAUAGGAAUCUCAAUAACUGACCAAUAGGAUUAAGGGAAAUCUAAAGCUUCUGCUUAACAGAGGAAUU